rnacentral:lncRNA from 10 species
AGCAACCCUUUGGGUCCCCUUCUGCACUGUGGAAGCUUUGUUCUUUUGCUCUUUACAAUAUAUCUUGCUACUACUCAGUUUUUGGGUCCGCACUGCUUUUAUAAGCUGUAACACUCACCGUGAAGACCUGCAGCUUUGCUCCUGAGCCCAGCGAGACCAUGAGCCCACGGGGAGGAAUGAACAACUCCAGACGUGCUGCCUUAAAAGUUGUAACAUUCACCAUGAAGGUCUGUAGCUUCACUCCCGAGCCAGCGAGACCACGAACCCACCAGAAGGAAGAAACUCCGAACACAUUUGAACAUCAGAAGGAACAAACUCCAGACGCGCUGCCUUAAGAGCUGUAACACUCACUGCGAGGGUGCGCAGCUUCAUUCUUGAAGUCAGUGAGACCAAGAACCCACCAAUUCCGGACACACCAGGAGGUGGAGGUUAAACUGAGCUGAGAUUGUGCCAUUGCACUCCAGCCUGGAUAACAAGAGUGAAACUCUUAAAAUAAUACAUAUAUGUAUAUGUAUACGUAUAUAUGUAUGUAUAUGCACA